rnacentral:rRNA from 1 species
UACGAAUGGGGCGAGCGUUGUUCGGAAUCACUGGGCGUAAAGCGUACGUAGGCGGAUUAGCAAGUCAGAAGUGAAAUCCCGGGGCUUAACCCCGGAAUUGCUUUUGAAACUGCUAGUCUAGAGGCCCGGAGAGGUCAGCGGAAUUCCGAGUGUAGAGGUGAAAUUCGCAGAUAUUCGGAGGAACACCAGUUGCGUAGGCGGCUGGCUGGACGGGCUCUGACGCUGAGGUACGAAAGCGUGGGGAUCAAACAGG